rnacentral:rRNA from 1 species
GACGAACGCUGGCGGCGUGCUUAACACAUGCAAGUCGAACGGAAAGGCCCUGCUCUUGUUGGGUGCUCGAGUGGCGAACGGGUGAGUAACACGUGAGUAACAUGCCCCUGACUUUGGGAUAACUUCAGGAAACUGGGGCUAUUACCGGAUAGGAGCUCCUGCUGCAUGGUGGGGGUUGGAAAGUUUCGGCGGUUGGGGAUGGACUCGCGGCUUAUCAGCUUGUUGGGGGAGUAGUUGCUUACCAAGGGUUUGACGGGUAGCCGGCCUGGGAGGUUGACCGGCGACAUUGGGACUGCGAUACGGCGCAGACGCCAACGGGAGGCAGCAGGGGGGAAUAUUGCAGAAUGGGGGGAAGCGUGAUGCAGAAACGCCGCGUGCGGGAUGACGGCCUUCGGGUUGUAAACCGAUUUCGCCUGUGACGAAGAGUGAGUGACGGUAAUGGGUAAAGAAGCACCGGCUAACUACGUG